rnacentral:rRNA from 1 species
GACGAACGCUGGCGGCGUGCCUAACACAUGCAAGUUGAGCGGUGAAGGUUGGUACUUGUACCGACUGGAUGAGCAGCGAACGGGUGAGUAACGCGUGGGGAAUCUGCCUUUGAGCGGGGGACAACAUUUGGAAACGAAUGAUAAUACCGCAUAAAAACUUUAAACACAAGUUUUAAGCUUGAAAGAUGCAAUUGCAUCACUCAAAGAUGAUUCAGCGUUGUAUUAGCUAGUUGGUGAGGUAAAGGCUCACCAAGGCGUUGAUACAUAGCCGACCUGGGAGGGUGGUGGGCCACAUUGGGAAUGGGACACGGCCCAAACUCCUAAGGGAGGCAGCAGUAGGGAAUCUUCGGCAAUGGACGAAAGUCUGACCGCGCAACGCCGCGUGAGGGGAGAAGGUUUUCGGAUCGUAAAACUCUGUUGGUAGAGAAGAACGUUGGUGAGAGUGGAAAGCUCAUCAAGUGACGGUAACUACACAGAAAGGGACGGCUAACUACGUG